UCCCGGCGGUCCAAGUCGUAGCCACAAUUAAUGGGUCUAAAACAUCCGUAGCUUGUUAUGUAAGUCUCUUGUGAAAUCUUAACUCUUAAGGUUAAGGCGUGCAAGAGAUACUGCAUGACUAGAGACUGGAGGACGCGAGAAGUACACUCAAGGUAGUGGUAAAAUACGUUGAUCUUGGGUGGACUAACAAUAGCGAAGGCAUCUCGCGAUUACAGUUCUGACAGUGAGGGAUGAAGGCUAGGGGCGCAAAAAG
rnacentral:rRNA from 1 species